rnacentral:rRNA from 1 species
GAUGAACGCUGGCGGCGUGCCUAAUACAUGCAAGUCGAGCGAACGGACGAGAAGCUUGCUUCUCUGAUGUUAGCGGCGGACGGGUGAGUAACACGUGGAUAACCUACCUAUAAGACUGGGAUAACUUCGGGAAACCGGAGCUAAUACCGGAUAAUAUUUUGAACCGCAUGGUUCAAAAGUGAAAGACGGUCUUGCUGUCACUUAUAGAUGGAUCCGCGCUGCAUUAGCUAGUUGGUAAGGUAACGGCUUACCAAGGCAACGAUGCAUAGCCGACCUGAGAGGGUGAUCGGCCACACUGGAACUGAGACACGGUCCAGACUCCUACGGGAGGCAGCAGUAGGGAAUCUUCCGCAAUGGGCGAAAGCCUGACGGAGCAACGCCGCGUGAGUGAUGAAGGUCUUCGGAUCGUAAAACUCUGUUAUUAGGGAAGAACAUAUGUGUAAGUAACUGUGCACAUCUUGACGUUACCUAAUCAGAAAGCCACGGCUAGCUACGUG